GGUUAAGCGACUAAGCGUACACGGUGGAUGCCCUGGCAGUCAGAGGCGAUGAAGGACGUGCUAAUCUGCGAUAAGCGUCGGUAAGGUGAUAUGAACCGUUAUAACCGGCGAUUUCCGAAUGGGGAAACCCAGUGUGUUUCGACACACUAUCAUUAACUGAAUCCAUAGGUUAAUGAGGCGAACCGGGGGAACUGAAACAUCUAAGUACCCCGAGGAAAAGAAAUCAACCGAGAUUCCCCCAGUAGCGGCGAGCGAACGGGGAGGAGCCCAGAGUCUGAAUCAGUGUGUGUGUUAGUGGAAGCGUCUGGAAAGGCGCGCGAUACAGGGUGACAGCCCCGUACACAAAAAUGCACAUAUUGUGAGCUCGAUGAGUAGGGCGGGACACGUGGUAUCCUGUCUGAAUAUGGGGGGACCAUCCUCCAAGGCUAAAUACUCCUGACUGACCGAUAGUGAACCAGUACCGUGAGGGAAAGGCGAAAAGAACCCCGGCGAGGGGAGUGAAAAAGAACCUGAAACCGUGUACGUACAAGCAGUGGGAGCCUCUUUUAUGGGGUGACUGCGUACCUUUUGUAUAAUGGGUCAGCGACUUAUAUUCUGUAGCAAGGUUAACCGAAUAGGGGAGCCGAAGGGAAACCGAGUCUUAACUGGGCGUUAAGUUGCAGGGUAUAGACCCGAAACCCGGUGAUCUAGCCAUGGGCAGGUUGAAGGUUGGGUAACACUAACUGGAGGACCGAACCGACUAAUGUUGAAAAAUUAGCGGAUGACUUGUGGCUGGGGGUGAAAGGCCAAUCAAACCGGGAGAUAGCUGGUUCUCCCCGAAAGCUAUUUAGGUAGCGCCUCGUGAAUUCAUCUCCGGGGGUAGAGCACUGUUUCGGCAAGGGGGUCAUCCCGACUUACCAACCCGAUGCAAACUGCGAAUACCGGAGAAUGUUAUCACGGGAGACACACGGCGGGUGCUAACGUCCGUCGUGAAGAGGGAAACAACCCAGACCGCCAGCUAAGGUCCCAAAGUCAUGGUUAAGUGGGAAACGAUGUGGGAAGGCCCAGACAGCCAGGAUGUUGGCUUAGAAGCAGCCAUCAUUUAAAGAAAGCGUAAUAGCUCACUGGUCGAGUCGGCCUGCGCGGAAGAUGUAACGGGGCUAAACCAUGCACCGAAGCUGCGGCAGCGACGCUUAUGCGUUGUUGGGUAGGGGAGCGUUCUGUAAGCCUGUGAAGGUGUGCUGUGAGGCAUGCUGGAGGUAUCAGAAGUGCGAAUGCUGACAUAAGUAACGAUAAAGCGGGUGAAAAGCCCGCUCGCCGGAAGACCAAGGGUUCCUGUCCAACGUUAAUCGGGGCAGGGUGAGUCGACCCCUAAGGCGAGGCCGAAAGGCGUAGUCGAUGGGAAACAGGUUAAUAUUCCUGUACUUGGUGUUACUGCGAAGGGGGGACGGAGAAGGCUAUGUUGGCCGGGCGACGGUUGUCCCGGUUUAAGCGUGUAGGCUGGUUUUCCAGGCAAAUCCGGAAAAUCAAGGCUGAGGCGUGAUGACGAGGCACUACGGUGCUGAAGCAACAAAUGCCCUGCUUCCAGGAAAAGCCUCUAAGCAUCAGGUAACAUCAAAUCGUACCCCAAACCGACACAGGUGGUCAGGUAGAGAAUACCAAGGCGCUUGAGAGAACUCGGGUGAAGGAACUAGGCAAAAUGGUGCCGUAACUUCGGGAGAAGGCACGCUGAUAUGUAGGUGAAGUCCCUUGCGGAUGGAGCUGAAAUCAGUCGAAGAUACCAGCUGGCUGCAACUGUUUAUUAAAAACACAGCACUGUGCAAACACGAAAGUGGACGUAUACGGUGUGACGCCUGCCCGGUGCCGGAAGGUUAAUUGAUGGGGUCAGCGCAAGCGAAGCUCUUGAUCGAAGCCCCGGUAAACGGCGGCCGUAACUAUAACGGUCCUAAGGUAGCGAAAUUCCUUGUCGGGUAAGUUCCGACCUGCACGAAUGGCGUAAUGAUGGCCAGGCUGUCUCCACCCGAGACUCAGUGAAAUUGAACUCGCUGUGAAGAUGCAGUGUACCCGCGGCAAGACGGAAAGACCCCGUGAACCUUUACUAUAGCUUGACACUGAACAUUGAGCCUUGAUGUGUAGGAUAGGUGGGAGGCUUUGAAGUGUGGACGCCAGUCUGCAUGGAGCCGACCUUGAAAUACCACCCUUUAAUGUUUGAUGUUCUAACGUUGGCCCCUAAUCGGGGUUGCGGACAGUGUCUGGUGGGUAGUUUGACUGGGGCGGUCUCCUCCUAAAGAGUAACGGAGGAGCACGAAGGUUGGCUAAUCCUGGUCGGACAUCAGGAGGUUAGUGCAAUGGCAUAAGCCAGCUUGACUGCGAGCGUGACGGCGCGAGCAGGUGCGAAAGCAGGUCAUAGUGAUCCGGUGGUUCUGAAUGGAAGGGCCAUCGCUCAACGGAUAAAAGGUACUCCGGGGAUAACAGGCUGAUACCGCCCAAGAGUUCAUAUCGACGGCGGUGUUUGGCACCUCGAUGUCGGCUCAUCACAUCCUGGGGCUGAAGUAGGUCCCAAGGGUAUGGCUGUUCGCCAUUUAAAGUGGUACGCGAGCUGGGUUUAGAACGUCGUGAGACAGUUCGGUCCCUAUCUGCCGUGGGCGCUGGAGAACUGAGGGGGGCUGCUCCUAGUACGAGAGGACCGGAGUGGACGCAUCACUGGUGUUCGGGUUGUCAUGCCAAUGGCACUGCCCGGUAGCUAAAUGCGGAAGAGAUAAGUGCUGAAAGCAUCUAAGCACGAAACUUGCCCCGAGAUGAGUUCUCCCUGACUCCUUGAGAGUCCUGAAGGAACGUUGAAGACGACGACGUUGAUAGGCCGGGUGUGUAAGCGCAGCGAUGCGUUGAGCUAACCGGUACUAAUGAACCGUGAGGCUUAACCUU
rnacentral:rRNA from 1 species